rnacentral:rRNA from 1 species
AGAGUUUGAUCCUGGCUCAGGAUGAACGCUAGCGACAGGCUUAACACAUGCAAGUCGAGGGGCAGCGGGGGAGUAGCAAUACUCCCGCCGGCGACCGGCGCACGGGUGAGUAACACGUAUGAAACCUGCCCGUAGCAGGGGGAUAAGCGGAAGAAAUUCCGUCUAAUACCGCGUAACAACCCUUGGAGGCAUCUCCUCGGGUUUAAAGGGAGCGAUUCCGGCUACGGAUGGUCAUGCGUCGCAUUAGCUUGUUGGCGGGGUAACGGCCCACCAAGGCGACGAUGCGUAGGGGUUCUGAGAGGAAGGUCCCCCACACUGGUACUGAGACACGGACCAGACUCCUACGGGAGGCAGCAGUGAGGAAUAUUGGUCAAUGGCCGCAGGGCUGAACCAGCCAAGUCGCGUGAGGGAUGACGGCCCUACGGGUUGUAAACCUCUUUUGCCGGGGAGCAAAGAGCGGGACGCGUCCCGCCUCGAGAGUACCCGGAGAAAAAGCAUCGGCUAACUCCGUGCCAGCAGCCGCGGUAAUACGGAGGAUGCGAGCGUUAUCCGGAUUUAUUGGGUUUAAAGGGUGCGCAGGCGGAAUGUCAAGUCAGCGGUAAAAUUUCGGGGCUCAACCCCGUCGUGCCGUUGAAACUGGCGUUCUUGAGUGAGCGAGAAGUAUGCGGAAUGCGUGGUGUAGCGGUGAAAUGCAUAGAUAUCACGCAGAACUCCGAUUGCGAAGGCAGCAUACCGGCGCUCAACUGACGCUCAUGCACGAAAGCGUGGGUAUCGAACAGGAUUAGAUACCCUGGUAGUCCACGCAGUAAACGAUGAAUACUUACUGUCCGGGCAGAAUGAUGUCUGGGUGGUACAGCGAAAGCGUUAAGUAUUCCACCUGGGUAGUACGCCGGCAACGGUGAAACUCAAAGGAAUUGACGGGGGCCCGCACAAGCGGAGGAACAUGUGGUUUAAUUCGAUGAUACGCGAGGAACCUUACCCGGGCUCAAACGACGGAUGGAUGUUUUUGAAAGAAGGCAGCCCUUCGGGGCAUCCGUCGAGGUGCUGCAUGGUUGUCGUCAGCUCGUGCCGUGAGGUGUCGGCUUAAGUGCCAUAACGAGCGCAACCCCCAUCGCCAGUUACCAGCAAGUAAAGUUGGGGACUCUGGCGAGACUGCCGGCGCAAGCUGUGAGGAAGGCGGGGAUGACGUCAAAUCAGCACGGCCCUUACGUCCGGGGCGACACACGUGUUACAAUGGCAGGUACAGAGAGAAGCGAUGCGGCGACGCGGAGCGGAACUUCAAAGCCUGUCUCAGUUCGGAUUGGAGUCUGCAACCCGACUCCAUGAAGCUGGAUUCGCUAGUAAUCGCGCAUCAGCCACGGCGCGGUGAAUACGUUCCCGGGCCUUGUACUCACCGCCCGUCA